rnacentral:tmRNA from 1 species
GGGGGUGACAGGCUUCGACGUGGGAGGUUGGUCGCAGACUGCAAGCCGAGGCGCUCUACCCUCGUUAAUCCAGAGCAAACCUAAUAGGUGCCAAACAGAGCACUCCACAGUUCGCAAUGGCUGCGUAAGUAGUCCGCGUGAACGACAGGUUACCUUGCGAGGUAGCCCGCUUGCCCUAACCGUAUCCCGUUCGGGGAGGUAACAAGCGUCACAAAUACCGGGAUGCCCUGCCGUUACGCCGAUAAGCGGCAGCCAAGAUCCAUCGGCUAGCCCGUAGUACAUCCAUGUGGGCUUGGGUAGCUGCGCGUGAAAUUUAAAAGUCCACUACGCUUGUAGACGUUUGUUCCCGAGUCUUGCGGACAGGGGUUCGAUUCCCCUCACCUCCAAUA